UACGAAGGGGGCUAGCGUUGCUCGGAAUCACUGGGCGUAAAGGGUGCGUAGGCGGGUCUUUAAGUCAGGGGUGAAAUCCUGGAGCUCAACUCCAGAACUGCCUUUGAUACUGAAGAUCUUGAGUUCGGGAGAGGUGAGUGGAACUGCGAGUGUAGAGGUGAAAUUCGUAGAUAUCGGGAGGAACACCAGUGGCGAAGGCGACUUCCUGGCCUGUUCUUGACGCUGAGGCGCGAAAGCUAGGGUAGCAAACGGG
rnacentral:rRNA from 1 species